AGAGUUUGAUCCUGGCUCAGGACGAACGCUGGCGGCGUGCCUAAUACAUGCAAGUCGAACGCAAAACUUUUAACUGAUGCUUGCAUCGACCUAAAGUUUUGAGUGGCGGACGGGUGAGUAACACGUGGGUAACCUGCCCAUCAGAGGGGGACAACACUUGGAAACAGGUGCUAAUACCGCAUAAUACAGAGAACCGCAUGGUUCUUUGUUGAAAGGCGCUUCUGGUGUCGCUGAUGGAUGGACCCGCGGUGCAUUAGCUAGACGGUGAGGUAACGGCUCACCGUGGCAAUGAUGCAUAGCCGACCUGAGAGGGUGAUCGGCCACAUUGGGACUGAGACACGGCCCAAACUCCUACGGGAGGCAGCAGUAGGGAAUCUUCGGCAAUGGACGAAAGUCUGACCGAGCAACGCCGCGUGAGUGAAGAAGGUUUUCGGAUCGUAAAACUCUGUUGUUAGAGAAGAACAGGAGCGAUAGUAACUGCUCGCUCUUUGACGGUAUCUAACCAGAAAGCCACGGCUAACUACGUGCCAGCAGCCGCGGUAAUACGUAGGUGGCAAGCGUUGUCCGGAUUUAUUGGGCGUAAAGCGAGCGCAGGCGGUCUUUUAAGUCUGAUGUGAAAGCCCACGGCUUAACCGUGGAGGGUCAUUGGAAACUGGGAGACUUGAGUGCAGAAGAGGAAAGUGGAACUCCAUGUGUAGCGGUGGAAUGCGUAGAUAUAUGGAAGAACACCAGUGGCGAAGGCGGCUUUCUGGUCUGUAACUGACGCUGAGGCUCGAAAGCGUGGGGAGCAAACAGGAUUAGAUACCCUGGUAGUCCACGCCGUAAACGAUGAGUGCUAAGUGUUGGAGGGUUUCCGCCCUUCAGUGCUGCAGCUAACGCAUUAAGCACUCCGCCUGGGGAGUACGACCGCAAGGUUGAAACUCAAAGGAAUUGACGGU
rnacentral:rRNA from 1 species